CAACUGUCAUACCAUAUAUAUAUACAAACCAGUGUAAUCCGUUUUACAGAUUCAAUCGUUUACUGAAACCCUGCAUUACAACUGCCACUUAAAAUUCUGGACGUUCUCUAUACCGUCAACUCACGAAAACCACAGACUGUCGUACAGUCGUACUGUCUAUUCUGCCAAAUCUCAUCGCAUAACUAUUCUGAGGAAAUAAAUAAACGUGAAAAUUACACUGCAGAGACACGAAUGGACAUGACCAACACGUUGUUAAAGUCACAUCGAAAUUCGAAACUGACAAUAAAAAACGCCCGCCCCUAAAGUCUGAAAAACUUUCCCGCCAUUUAAGGAAAGCGGCCAUGAUGGAUUUAUUUCCUUACCCUCAUACCCUGCCUCCUAC